GUGAGGAAUAUUGGUCAAUGGUCGCAAGACUGAACCAGCCAUGCCGCGUGCAGGAAGACGGUCCUAUGGAUUGUAAACUGCUUUUAUACAGGAAGAAACCCUCCCACGUGUGGGAGCUUGACGGUACUGUAGGAAUAAGGAUCGGCUAACUCCGUGCCAGCAGCCGCGGUAAUACGGAGGAUCCAAGCGUUAUCCGGAAUCAUUGGGUUUAAAGGGUCCGUAGGCGGUCUUAUAAGUCAGUGGUGAAAGCCCAUCGCUCAACGAUGGAACUGCCAUUGAUACUGUAGGACUUGAAUGCUUAGGAAGUAACUAGAAUAUGUAGUGUAGCGGUGAAAUGCUUAGAUAUUACAUGGAAUACCAAUUGCGAAGGCAGGUUACUACUAAGUGAUUGACGCUGAUGGACGAAAGCGUGGGGAGCGAACAGGAUUAGAAACCCCGGUAGUCC
rnacentral:rRNA from 1 species